rnacentral:tRNA from 1 species
GGCCCCGUAGCUCAACCGGAUAGAGCAGCGGUCUUCUAAACCGCAGGUUGCAGGUUCAAGUCCUGCCGGGGUCGCCA